rnacentral:rRNA from 1 species
UGGGGAAUCUUGCACAAUGGGGGCAACCCUGAUGCAGCGACGCCGCGUGAGCGAUGAAGCCCUUCGGGGCGUAAAGCUCUUUCGACCGGAACGAUAAUGACGGUACCGGGAGAAGAAGCUGCGGCUAACUACGUGCCAGCAGCCGCGGUAAUACGUAGGCAGCAAGCGUUGUUCGGAGUUACUGGGCGUAAAGAGUGCAUAGGCGGUUUUCUAAGUUCGGUGUGAAAUCUCCCGGCUUAAUUGGGAGGGUGCGCCGAAGACUGGGAAGCUGGAGUGUGGGAAAGGCAGGCGGAAUUCCUGGUGUAGCGGUGAAAUGCGUAGAUAUCAGGAGGAACACCGGCGGUGUAGACGGCUUGCUAGACCAUAACUGACGCUGAGGCACGAAAGCGUGGGUAGCAAACA